GAUGAACGCUGGCGGCGUGCCUAAUACAUGCAAGUCGAGCGAACAGACGAGGAGCUGGCUCCUCUGACGUUAGCGGCGGACGGGUGAGUAACACGUGGAUAACCUACCUAUAAGACUGGGAUAACUUCGGGAAACCGGAGCUAAUACCGGAUAAUAUAUUGAACCGCAUGGUUCAAUAGUGAAAGACGGUUUUGCUGGCACUUAUAGACGGAUACACGCCGCAUUAGCUAGUUGGUAAGGUAACGGCUGACUAAGGCAACGAUGCCAACACGACCGGAGAGGAUGAACGGCCGCAAUGGAACUCAAACACGGUCCCGACACCUACGGGCUGCAGAAGUACGGAGUCUUCCGCAAUCGUCGAAAUCCUAUCAAGAAAACCACCAGUACGUGCUGAAGCUCUUCGGCUCGCAAAACACUGCUAUGAGGGAAGAACAAAAGUGGAAGGUAAUAUACACGUCUUGAAAGUACCUGAUACGAAAGCCACGGCCAACUUCGUA
rnacentral:rRNA from 1 species